GUUUGUACAGGACCAUCCAGCAUUCAAGUAUCAGUGACACACGGAUCAUGCAAUUCAUGAAGCAAGAGGGCCCAAGUGAAUUUAACUCAUAUGAAGAACACACGAUCUUUUAAUCAACAAAAAAUGUGCACAUUGGAUUGCUAGAAAGUCAUGCUUGACAAGAGGAAAACUGAGGUAAUUGAAAGACUGCAGAAACAGUACCACGAUGGGAACACCUGAAAAUGAAAUGCACUCAAACACACAAGGUUCUUUGAAGUAUAUUACAGAUUCCUGCAGAGAACACU